GAUGAACGCUAGCGGCAGGCUUAAUACAUGCAAGUCGAGGGGCAGCAUGACUGUAGCAAUACAGUUGAUGGCGACCGGCAAACGGGUGCGGAACACGUACAGAACCUUCCUUCGAGCGGGGAAUAGCCCAGAGAAAUUUGGAUUAAUACCCCAUAGUAUAUUAGAGUGGCAUCACUUUGAUAUUAAAGAUUUAUCACUUGAAGAUGGCUGUGCGGCUGAUUAGGUAGUUGGCGGGGUAACGGCCCACCAAGCCUUCGAUCAGUAACUGGUGUGAGAGCACGACCAGUCACACGGGCACUGAGACACGGGCCCGACUCCUACGGGAGGCAGCAGUAAGGAAUAUUGGUCAAUGGACGAAAGUCUGAACCAGCCAUGCCGCGUGGAGGAUGAAGGUCCUCUGGAUUGUAAACUUCUUUUAUAUGGGACGAAAAAGGGUUUCUAACUCGUCUGACGGUACCAUAUGAAUAAGCACCGGCUAACUCCGUGCCAGCA
rnacentral:rRNA from 1 species